UUCCUCUCUCCAUCCACGCUCUCUCCAUCGCUCCAUCCAUGCUCUCCCCAUCGCAGGAGCUUCUUUCACCACCGCCGCUCCCCCCAUCGCUCCGUCCAUGAAGAAGCUCUGUCCACGAAGAAGCUCCAUCGCUUACGAGCUCAAUUUUUCUACUUUUGUUUGAGCUGUGUUUCAGUCCCAUCCAUUUAGAUCUGCGCUUCUGAAUUUCAGAUCGCGUUCCGAUUCAAUUUGAGACAAUAAUCACUUCCGUCAUUUCAAAGAUUGAACGCAGAUAUGGUAAUCCUUUUGUUUCCUCACAAUCCCGCACUUUGAUAUUUUUUUAGGCUUCUCUAUCAGCUACAAUUUUGAUAUGUGCAUGUAAUUUGAAUCUAUGAUACAUUUACAUGGGCUUCGUGUUGUGUAAUUGUACACACUUGCCUUAUAAUUGAGAUCUAUUCAUGGUGAGGUUUGU